ensembl:lncRNA
AUGGCUGAUUUUGAGCAAAUAUUUAAUGCUGACUAUUCCAUUCUUUGUAAUGGUUUUCUCUAAAAUGGAGUUAUUUUUCAAAACAUUUUAAAGAUGAUACAUUAUUUUCAUAAACUUAUUUCCUUUUUCUUCUCUUUUUUCUCCGAUGCUGCCACUGCUGCCUCCUUCUCUGCUGGUUUGCUGGGUUCCUUGGCCUUGGCAUCAUCUGGUUCCUUCUUGGCCGCCUCUGUCUUCCUUUGGGUUUAGCAUCUUCCUUCAUCUCCACCUUGGCAGGAACCUCCUUCUCUGGGGUGGCUGUUUUUUUCUUAUCUUCAACCUCUUCCUUUUUGGCUUUGACUUUGGAUUCUUUGGGCUUUUUCGACGGCAGGUUCCUUUUUCUCCACCUCAGGCUUUGGAGCCUCCUUCUUGGGUGCCUCCUCUUUCUUGCUGUCCUCCUCCGUUUUUGGCAUGGUGGGAGCUUUCUCUUCUUCUACCUUCUUUGGGGGCUCUUUGACUUUCACCUUCUGGGGCUUCUCCUCCUUCAUUGGAGACUUCACCUCUCUUUUCUUUGGGAUCUCCUUCUCAGGGGCCUUGGCAUCCUCCUUCACGGGAGACUUCGCCUUCUCUGGGGACUUGAUCUCCUCCUUUACAGGGCUUUUGGCUUUUUCAGAGGAUUUGUCUGCAGGAGACUUUGCUUCCUCCUUUGCUGGAGUCUUGGCUUCUGGAGACUUCACAUCAAGAGUCUUGGCCUUCUCAGGGGACUUUACAUCUUCCUUCACUGGGGACUUGGCUUUCUCAGGAGACUUGACUUAGCUAGAGAUUUUGCUUCUUCCUUCUCUGGGGACUUGGCCUUCUCAGGGGACUUUGCUUCUUCCUUUACUGGGGACUUGGCCUUCUCGGGAGACUUGACUUAGCUAGAGAUUUUGCUUCUUCCUUCUCUGGGGACUUGGCCUUCUCAGGGGACUUUGCUUCUUCCUUCACUGGGGACUUGGCCUUCUCGGGAGACUUUACUUCAGCUAGAGAUUUUGCUUCUUCCUUCUCGGGGGACUUGGCCUUCUCAGGGGACUUUGCUUUCUCCUUCACUGAGGACUUAGCCUUUUCCAGAGACUUGACCUCAGCUGGAGAUUUUGCUUCUUCCUUUACUGGGGACUUGGCCUCAGCCGGUGACUUUGCCUCUUCCUUUGCUAGGGACUUGGUCUUCUCUGGAGACUUGGCCUCAGCCAGUGACUUUGCCUCUUCCUUUGCUGGGGACUUGGUCUUCUCUGGAGACUUGGCCUCAGCCAGUGACUUUGCCUCUUCCUUUGCUGGGGACUUGGUCUUCUCUGGAGACUUGGCCUCAGCCAGUGACUUUGCCUCUUUCUUCACUGGGUACUUGGCUUCCCUCUCUGGGGAUGAGGCCUCUUCUGCUGGGGGAGACUUUGCUUCUUCUUCUCCCCCUUCUGCCUCCUCCUCUUAAGCCCCCUCUUCCUCCUUGCCCUCCUCCUCUUUGGCCUCUUUAUCCUCUUCUUCAGUCACUUCUUCAGUCACUUGGGUCUCCUCCGUCUGUUCUUCCACAAUCACAGUUUCUUUCUCAGACUUGUCUAUCACUUUGAUCUCUUCGCUUUUGACCUUUAUGUGUGUGGACAUAGAGGGAAUCUUGGGGAGUUCUGGAAGUGAGAAAGGAAUUGGGCCAAGCCAAUCCGACACUCUUCACCUUCCAGGAGUUUUCUGUAAGCGGCUAUCUCUAUAUUCAGAGCCAUCUUGACAUUGAGCAGGUCCAGGUAUUCUCACAGCUGGGCUGCCAUCUCCUGCUGGGUGGGAGCUGCUGGGCGUCCAGCUGCUGAAUGGCUUCCUGG